rnacentral:rRNA from 1 species
GAUGAACGCUGGCGGCGUGCCUAAUACAUGCAAGUCGAACGCUGGAAAUCUAGCUUGCUAGAUUGAAGGAGUGGCGAACGGGUGAGUAAUACAUAAGCAACCUACCCACGAAGACUGGGAUAAUCUCUGGAAACGGGGACUAAUACCGGAUAGGUAAUCGGAAGGCAUCUUCUGAUUAUUAAAGGUUAAAAACACUGGUGGAUGGGCUUAUGGCGCAUUAGUUAGUUGGUGAGGUAACGGCCCACCAAGACGAUGAUGCGUAGCCGGCCUGAGAGGGUGAACGGCCACAUUGGGACUGAGACCCGGCCCAGACUCCUACGGGAGGCAGCAGUAGGGAAUUUUCGGCAAUGGGGGAAACCCUGACCGAGCAACGCCGCGUGAGUGAUGACGGCCUUCGGGUUGUAAAGCUCUGUUGUAAGGGAAGAACGGUAGAUAGAGAAUAUCUAAAUGACGGUACCUUACCAGAAAGCCACGGCUAACUACGUG